AUAACAACAAACUGACCCCUAUCACACUGAAUGCCAUCACUGCUGCCAGCAAGGCAGGAGGAGAGGUGUCAUGACUAAUAACUGGUACCAACUGUGUAACUGCAGGCCUGCAGUACUUUUUGUCUGCCAAAACGUGUCCAUGCGUAUUCAAGGGUACUGGAUCUCCUCUCUUGUCUGCUAAGCUGGCUGUGGCUACUAUUUCAGACAUCACUGAGGUCAAAUCUUUGUCACGACCAUGUGCUGAUUCCCCACCUUCUCCUGUCGGGAUUUCCCAAUGGCUCCAGUAGAACUCUAAACCAGGAGUGACACAUCUGAGCUCAACAGUCUUGAUGCACAAGAAGGUAAAACUGUCAGUACAAUUUUCUAAAAUUAUAGGCUUUUCUGUCUUUUUCUUAUCUUU